rnacentral:rRNA from 1 species
UACGGGGGGGGCAAGCGUUGUUCGGAAUUACUGGGCGUAAAGGGCUCGUAGGCGGCCAACUAAGUCAUACGUGAAAUCCCUCGGCUUAACCGGGGAACUGCGUCUGAUACUGGAUGGCUUGAGUUCGGGAGAGGUGAGCGGAACUGCGAGUGUAGAGGUGAAAUUCGUAGAUAUUCGCAAGAACACCAGUGGCGAAGGCGGCUCACUGGCCCGAUACUGACGCUGAGGCACGAAAGCGUGGGGAGCAAACAGG